ensembl:lncRNA
CCUCACAUUACGUUUUUAUUUUCUCAAAUGUUAUGAUACUUACUUAACAAUUAUAAAAAUGACAGAUCUAAGUAACAUGUUUUUAAAUGCUUAUAGCCCUAAAGCAAAUCAAAUUAACAAAUUACCAGUUCAAAUAGAAGCCAUUGAAGUAGAUGCCAACAAACAUGAAGAAUCAACUAUACACUGUAUUUUACAAGUUAGAAAAGAGCAACAGCAUCUAAAAGGGACCAUAUACAGUAAAUCAUAGUUUUCAAUCUUAUUUUAAACUGAUUUAAGAGUAACUUUGAGAAAUGAAAACCCUAAUAUUUUCUCUUUAAAGUGUCUAUGUACAUUGUUUAUUCUUCUGAUAUGUAACUAAGAUGUGCUACCUACCUUGCACACCCCAUACAUACACGCACACACACACACACACACACACACACACACAUAUAUAUACACACAAAUACACAUAUACAUAUAUACACACACACACACACACACAUAUCUCUCUCAUAUAUAUCUCUCUCAUAUAUAUAUAUAUAUAUAUAUAUAUAUAUAUAUGCUGUAUAAACAUCUCCCUCCAAUUUUAUAAGGCCUUUUUCUUUGAGUUCAUGUUUUCCUUGUGGCACUCAACAGAUACAUUUAAAAAAUAUUUACGGAUAACAUUGGUAUUGUAUGUGAAAGAUAUGAUCCCUCAAAUGCUGUGUAACACUGGCAUCAUGUGGCCUUUCUAUUGGCCCCUCAUACAACCCCAGUGAGUUUCAUCCUAUAGCAGAGCAGAAUCAAAAAUGUAAUACAAAAAAUGACUUUGCUUUUCUUAAGAAAUGCAAAACAGGAAAAUAAAAAAGGGAGCGUCACAACAGGUAACAGAAUGAAGAUAACCUCAUAGAAAAAGUUAUGACAGAGACAUGUGUGUAUCUCACACCAACUUCCACUUACAGUUCUACUGUUUCCGCUACUCAUGCAAAAAUAAUGGACUAUUUUCAUAUUCUCUUUUUAAUUUUUUUUUAUCCCAAAAUGAACCAACAUCAAACACAGUGUGAAAUGCCAAGCCAUCAAACACUUUCAAUUAUUUUCCUGAAGGUGACAUCUUGCAUAAAACACAAGUCAGUUUUCGGUUUGGAAUACAACAGGAUACAUAAGACACUUGUGUUUAUUUUCUUAGAUACAGAGGUGUAUACGGUACCUUAUGGGGUCUUCAAAUUAUGAGCCUCAUUAUAACCGAUACACAUAAUCUCUCAGGUUUUCAUUUCUAAAGCUACCAUUCAGCCAUACAGUCAAAGAAAGAAAAACAGUUAUAAAAUGUAAAAAUAAAAACUAAUGGGCUUUAUAUGUCUCUGCAGGCACUUCAGCUGGAGAUGCAGUGGUUUAUCUAAUCGCAAAUCAGUCACAUCUGUUCUGUUACUACACAGGCUAAUGAAAAUAUCAGGACUAUACUACCUCUUCAGAGACUGGGAAUAAACACUGCUAAAAGGUCAAGAAGGGCAUGGAGAAAGAGUAGUAAGGCAGAGGAGUGUAAAGGAGGGGUUACAGUCACAUGAACACUAAAUGUUACUACAGUAAUUAACAACAUCUGUAUGUCAGAGGUUCUAGAGUGCUCAGUAGCCCACUGUUUCUCUGACAACCAUUGUAACAUUCCAAAGGGGCCUACUAGGGGCAUCUGGUGAAUGUUGUUUUGUCACACACCCGCCCACACACAGAGAAAGCCAGAAACGGCUAUCACAUUUUAACUACAUUAUUUAAAACUACAGUUUUAAAUAAUGGCGGGAAACAACUCAUCUCAACAAAAUAUGGCAAAUAAAGGUCUAAUUGAGGCUAGUAACCUUUCCUUGACUACAAUAUUACAUGCACUCUAUAAAGUGGGUGUUGCUUUUAAAGCUUUGAAUACUUGUUGUGAAUUAACAGUUGUGUGAAGACUUUAGAAACACUUUAGUAUUGUUGUGGUGGUACUGCUGAAUUUAGAACACUUUAGUAUUGUUGUGGUGGUACUGCUGAAUUUAGAACACUUUAGUAUUGUUGUG